CGGGAAUUUUGGGCAAUGGGCGAAAGCCUGACCCAGCAGCGCCGCGUGAGGGAUGAAGUAUUUCGGUAUGUAAACCUCGAAAGAAUGGGAAGAAUAAAUGACGGUACCAUUUAUAAGCUCCGGCUAACUACGUGCCAGCAGCCGCGGUAAUACGUAGGGAGCAAGCGUUGUUCGGAUUUACUGGGCGUAAAGGGCGCGUAGGCGGCGCGGUAAGUCACUUGUGAAAUCUCUGAGCUUAACUCAGAACGGCCAAGUGAUACUGCUGUGCUAGAGUGCGGAAGAGGCAACCGGAAUUCUUGGUGUAGCGGUGAAAUGCGUAGAUAUCAAGAGGAACACCUGAGGCGAAGGCGGGUUGCUGGGCCGACACUGACGCUGAUGCGCGAAAGCCAGGGGAGCAAACG
rnacentral:rRNA from 1 species